rnacentral:rRNA from 1 species
CAGUCGCCGCGGGAAAACGUAGGGUGCAAGCGUUAAUCGGAAUUACUGGGCGUAAAGCGUGCGCAGGCGGUUUGCUAAGACAGACGUGAAAUCCCCGGGCUUAACCUGGGAAUGGCAGUGGAUACUGGCUCGCUAGAGUGUGUCAGAGGAUGGUGGAAUUCCCGGUGUAGCGGUGAAAUGCGUAGAGAUCGGGAGGAACAUCAGUGGCGAAGGCGGCCAUCUGGGACAACACUGACGCUGAUGCACGAAAGCGUGGGGAGCAAACAGGAUUAGAUACCCCGGUAGUCCCUGUCUCUUAUAC